AUAAACAGUUCAAGGCAAACUAAGACUCUACAAGAUUUUUCUUUAAAAAAAAAAAAGCUCUAGAACCUAUUUAAAAAAAAAAAAAACUAAUUCAAACAAGGAUUUCUUAACUAUGCAAGAGCAAGAUUUCUGAGACACAAAGAUAAUGAGGCAGCACAUCAGCCCUGGAGGAGUUGGAGGGGAACGUGUACCCAAUUAAUGAGAAACAAGGCAAGUCUAAGCUGUGGGCACUGGGGGAACUCAAGGAAGUGAGGCUAGGGGUAGCUCCACAGGAAAGAAUUCUGAAGCUCUCAUAAUUGAGAUGAACUCUGAAGAAGGCAAGGUUCAGGCAGGAUGGGAAGGGGCAGGAGGAGGAGAGACAGACAAGGCAGGCUUCGCAGAGCAGGGACUACGCAGUGGUUGCCAGGAGCCAAAAAAGGAGGGGGCACCCCCCCCAGCCUCUGAAUAUGAAGAGGAGAGGCCAACCCCCAGGCUGUUAAGGGGUGGCCAGGUCUGGCUGGACUCCUCCUCGGCCUCAGGACUCAGGGGCUAG
rnacentral:lncRNA from 1 species